UACGAAGGGGGCUAGCGUUGUUCGGAAUUACUGGGCGUAAAGCGCGCGUAGGCGGCUUUGUAAGUUAGAGGUGAAAGCCCGGAGCUCAACUCCGGAACUGCCUUUAAAACUGCAUCGCUUGAAUCCAGGAGAGGUGAGUGGAAUUCCGAGUGUAGAGGUGAAAUUCGUAGAUAUUCGGAAGAACACCAGUGGCGAAGGCGGCUCACUGGACUGGUAUUGACGCUGAGGUGCGAAAGCGUGGGGAGCAAACAGG
rnacentral:rRNA from 1 species